rnacentral:lncRNA from 1 species
GCGAGACACCCUAGUCGUAGAUGGGGUUUUUUUCUUUCUUUUUUUCUGUUUCAAUAAAAGUCUAUAUGAACUAAGUAGACCCGACCAAGCGGAUAUUCCAUUGGUGUCUAUCAGAGACACACCCAGUUAAGAAGACCGGAACUGACAUUUUUUUCUGUGAUAAACGGUCUGAGUUAACUGUCUUAAUUUAUCCACCAUCUUUGGUUCUGCUUUGACUACAUUGCAUGGAAAUAUUGCCACAAGCAAUGUCCCGAGUGAUGAGUGCGCACAGUACUGUUCCAUCGCAACUUUGCUAGGAUUCUUUUAUGAUUCUAAGUAACGGAAUAUUUAGGCUAAGCGCUCAUCUGUGGAUACGUUGUCAGAAUAACUUUUCUUAGUAUUUGCUUGUAGAAAUACAUUUCCCUUGUUUUCAGUCGUUUGAGAAGUCUACGCUUAGGAUAACUUUGUCUUGCUACCCAGACGUGAAUGGCGCCUGAGCCCAACGCUUCCCCCAGUGUGUGUGUGUGUCAGUGCAGACACACCCACCCUCUCCCUCGUCAGUCUCGGUUAUCAGAUAUUUUUACCCUGCCUGGUCCGGAAUCCUGCCAGCCAAGCGGAUAAUGGCCCUACUCUCUCUCCAGUUACCCCUCAGAGUGUAAGGAGCCGAGACCACGACACACACACACACACACACACACACACAGACACACACACACACACACACACACACACACACACACACACACACACACACACACACACACACACACACACACACACACACUUCCCUGACAGCUCUGGUUUUGUUUCUGGGUGAUGACAUCAUGACCGGGGCGUUACUGAACGGGGGGAAAUGUGGCAGACACACACACUCCUCGAUUCUCGCUCCUCUGACGCCCGAAGUCUUCAAACACCAUCGCUAGAGAUGGAGGCAGCUUCAGUCCACAGAGCUUCCUGUGUUUGGAUUUAUAUGAACAGUUAUCAGCCUUACUCCCACACCCCUUCCCAGCCCCGGUGCCUCUAGAGGGGCCCAUCGACCCAGGAUGCAGUGGGGCUCUGGU